rnacentral:rRNA from 1 species
UACGUAGGCGGAAAAUUAAGUCAGUAGUGAAAUCCUGCAGCUUAACUGUAAAACUGUUAUUGAUACUGGUUUUCUUGAAUAUAGUUGAGGUAGGCGGAAUGUGUAAUGUAGCGGUGAAAUGCUUAGAUAUUACACAGAACACCGAUUGCGAAGGCAGCUUACUAAGCUAUGAUUGACGCUGAGGUACGAAAGCGUGGGGAGCGAACAGGAUUAGAUACCCUGGUAGUCC